GGGAGGGCGGCUGAGUUGGAGAGCGGCGGCGGGCUGUAACCCCGUUCCGGAAACGGUGAGUCGGUUCGAAUCCGACCCCUCCCACCA
rnacentral:tRNA from 1 species